CCUACGGGAGGCAGCAGUGGGGAAUAUUGCACAAUGGGCGAAAGCCUGAUGCAGCAACGCCGCGUGAGCGAUGAAGGCCUUCGGGUCGUAAAGCUCUGUCCUCAAGGAAGAUAAUGACGGUACUUGAGGAGGAAGCCCAGGCUAACUACGUGCCAGCAGCCGCGGUAAUACGUCGGGGGCUAGCGUUAUACGGAAUUGCUGGGCGUAAGGGGUGCGUAGGUGGUUUCUUAAGUAAGAGGUGAAAGGCAAGGGCUCAACCGUAGUAAGCCUUUGAAACUGGGAAACUUGAGUGCAGGAGAGGAGAGUGGAAUUCCUAGUGUAGCGGUGAAAUGCGUAGAUAUUAGGAGGAACACCAGUUGCGAAGGCGGCUCUCUGGACUGUAACUGACACUGAGGCACGAAAGCGUGGGGAGCAAACAGGAUUAGAUACCCUAGUAGUC
rnacentral:rRNA from 1 species